GACGAACCGUGCGAACGUUAUUCGGAAUCACUGGGCUUAAAGCGCGUGUAGGCGGUCUGUCGCGUCGGUCGUGAAAACUUGGGGCUUAACCCUGAGCUUGCGGUCGAUACGGGCAUGACUGGAGUUCGGCAGGGGAGACUGGAAUUCCUGGUGUAGCGGUGAAAUGCGCAGAUAUCAGGAGGAACACCAAUGGCGAAGGCAGCUCGCUGGGACGUGACUGACGCUGAGACGCGAAAGCGUGGGGAGCAAACAGG
rnacentral:rRNA from 1 species